rnacentral:rRNA from 1 species
UUUUAUUGCCAUAGCACCCCAAUUGCACUCGAUCUUGCCUGCUUUCAGAAGCUGAGCAGGGUCAGGCCUGGUGAGUGUCUGGAUGGGAAACCACCAGGAAUCUCCAGGAAAGGCUAGGGA